AUUGAACGCUGGCGGCAUGCCUUACACAUGCAAGUCGAACGGCAGCACGGGUGCUUGCACCUGGUGGCGAGUGGCGAACGGGUGAGUAAUACAUCGGAACGUACCUUAUCGUGGGGGAUAACGCAGCGAAAGCUGUGCUAAUACCGCAUACGCCCUGAGGGGGAAAGCGGGGGAUCGAAAGACCUCGCGCGAUUAGAGCGGCCGAUGCCUGAUUAGCUUGUUGGUGGGGUAAAAGCCCACCAAGGCGACGAUCAGUAGCUGGUCUGAGAGGACGAUCAGCCACACUGGGACUGAGACACGGCCCAGACUCCUACGGGAGGCAGCAGUGGGGAAUUUUGGACAAUGGGGGCAACCCUGAUCCAGCAAUGCCGCGUGAGUGAAGAAGGCCUUCGGGUUGUAAAGCUCUUUUGUCAGGGAAGAAACACCGGCUCUAACACAGUCCGGGAAUGACGGUACC
rnacentral:rRNA from 7 species